UGAAUCAACCCCAGAACCCCUGAACUAACCUUUAAAUAUGCAAUGAUGCAUUUAAAUUUUCCAUGAAGCAUUUUUUAUAUACUUAUAUAUAAUAAAUGUUUCACGUGAAGUAAGUGUCAGUUGCUCUAAGUGUUUUACGCAAAGUAGUUACCACAAAUUGGAAGAUAAUAUUUUUUAGGCAAGAGAACAAGUUUUUAAGAUUAAGUUGAUAAAGAAAAAUUAAUGGGAAACAUAAACAUUAGAAAAAUGACAACCACAUUAUCCAACAAACCAACACCAAAAAAAGAAUAUGAACCAGUGGAAACAUUCAAAUUUUUACAAUCAUUCACAGAAGAAACAAAUAAUGGCCUUUAUUUAAAUUAUGUCUAUUUUCCCGAAGAAGUGAUAACAAUGAUCCUCAGUUACGUAGAUCCUACAGAAUUAUUACACGUUUCAGAAGUUUGCAAGAAAUGGUGCAACAUCAUCAAAUCUGAUACUUUUUGGGCAAAUAUUUACCAGAGGAAAUGUGGUAAAAAACCAAAGAAGUUACCAUGGUAUGUCUAUUACUGCUUUUUCGCAACCAAUUAUUUUGAUAUAAAUCUCAUCAAAAAUGGUAAUGGUGAAAAUGGGUAUGACAGUUGGACAAUUGUUGUUAAUUAUGGAGAUCAGUUCCGAAUAGAAGAUCCUCCUUGUGGGGCUGACCCACUUCCUAUUGAUGUUCCAGAAUUUAAUGGCAGGACUAGCUGUUUUGCAACAUCAUACUAUGAAUGCAAUAAAUUACAAGAAAUUUCACUCGAAAAUAAUAGGCUUAUUCAACUCAUUCUUGAUAAAUUUAAACCUCAUAUUUAUUUAAGUGAGUGGAUGGCUGCAAGGUUUGAUUGUGGUUGUAUUUAUAAUUUAUGGUGUAAACUUUUUGGAAAGAAAACAGAAAACUCGAAACCAGUACAAGAAGCGCAUGACACAGAAGUGAAUUCAGAGUUAAUUGGAGAUGAGUUGGAGGAUGUUUUUGAAGACGAUCAAAGUGAGUUUUAUGGAGAAGAACCUUUGCAUAUUGAGCAUGCCUCAAAAAGUGUGGAGCAAUGGGCUGGUUCUACAUGGAUAAAAGUUGAAAUGGUUGUAAAAAAUUAUCCCUCAGGAGUAAGAAGUAUAGUUUUUCAACAUGAAGGUAGAGAUACUCAGUUUUGGAAAGGUCACUAUGGAAGUAAAAUGGCAGGUGGAGUUGUUAAAAUAUUAUUUGAUUCAAUUGAGCCUUUAAUAUAGAAGUGCCUUUAAGAUAAUUUAUUAUUAAUAUUAUAGAGAACAAAAAGCCUUGCACAAACAUAAUUUCAGCAAGUGUUACAAGUUCUUAAAAAUAUAGAUAUUAACAAAUUAAAAAAAAAUUUGGCAGUGUUAAUAAAAUCAAUGUAACAUAGAGUAAGUUAUAAGGGCAUUUGUAUAAAGAUUUAAACGUACUGGAUGAAUGUUAUAAAUAAAGCAACAUAAACCAUUCAGGAUGUUUUUAGACAAAAGUGAGUCAUGAAAACUUUUCUUCACGUUGGAUAAACUGGUUCGUCAAUAAAACAGUUUGUGUCAGUGCAUGAGAUUGCCGUUCACUUGCUUGAAGCUAGUUUGCCACAUAUAAUCAUAUUUUCAAGUUAAACAUUUCUGAUUUCUGUCAUUAAAAUUUAAAAUGCCGAAAUAGUUAUUUAGGAUUAGGAUUCAUGGUCGGAAAAUGUAUGUUUACGCAUUUUACGUUACGAGUAUGAGUGGAAAUGCGGAGCCGAGACGCCAGUUGAGACGGAGCAACACGAAUACUCGCAAAAACAUUUUAUGGACGUGUGUUCCACGAGCCUUUGAGGGCCAAGUAUUUAAAUUUGUUUUUCUGGUAAUCAUUUAUUAAUGACAUUAAUGCAUGAUUGAUGUAUGAAAACCGUUUAUAUUAAGGCUCCGUCGGAACGAGUCCGUAUCACAGUACAGAGAUCAUUCAGUAGGGACAACUCGCUAUUUUUACUGACCCGUUUUCAUGGGUGGUCGUUUGUCUUGUGACCGCAUGAGGACGCGCAACGCAAGGUACUUCUCUUUCUUACACAUUGGAACAUUGAAUUGCAGUACUUUGGUUAUUUAGUGAGUUUAAUGUGAAAUAUUUGAAAUUUGGCAAUUUAGUUGUAUUGGUUUUGAUGGUUUAAGGCUGAUCUUCCGGUGUAAUUAUUGCAGUUAAGUGUACUUUUCAUGUUUUGAUGGAACCAUUGUUUACUAUUUAAUUUUUUUUGUGAAAAAAUUAAAUGUACAUUAGCGUUUUCUAAUAACGUUGAAUUUUACAACCAUUUACAACCAUCAUUAAUGAAACGUAAAAUCAUAAUCUGAAUUUUCAAUACGACAUCUCUGUUAUAGGGUGCUUAAUUCAUUAUUUAUUAUAAUAGACUGUGUGGUUUCUAAGAUCAGCUAGUUACAAAAUGUUAUUGUUAUUACAUUAUUUUUAAUUCUUUUCCAAAAAUUCAUUUGCACAAAGUGUAGUAAAUUGAAUGAUCAAAGGCGCCGACACGAGUUGUCCCUACUGAAUAAUCUCUAUAGUGUGUCCGUAUAUCCAUUUUCUAAAUUAGGCAACCCACAAUGCAAGUACUAUGGGAAGAGUUGAAGAGCUGUCAAUCACUAGCCAAGUAGGCUGACCGACCGCAUGGGACGGAUCUUCCUCAAAAUUUAUUUAGGAGAAAAGAUGAAAGAGAUAAAUAACAAUACCAAAGAAGAUAAACAAAAUUUGAAAUUUUGUUAAUUUUCUUUGACAGUAAGAGCAAGUAUUUUGGUAGUCGCGGAUGGAGCGUGGAGCAAGCAAUCGUAUAGAAAUAAUUACAACGCUCUUUUAGGAGUCGCAUACAUUAUAGGUGCUAGAACCAGGAAAAUUUUAUAUGUGGGAGUAAAAAAUAAACACUACCUCACAUGCACACGUAAAAAAAAUAAAAUAAGGAUAAACCUCAUAAAUGUUUCAAAAAUUGGAACAAGGCCUUUACAGCAAUGGAGAGUAGUAUUGUCUUAGGGGGAUUCCAAAAAUUAGUAGAAAUGCAUGGUUUAAUUUAUGCAAAAAUUGUAGGUGAUGGUGACAGUAGUGUUUAUAAAAAAAUUCGAGACAUUAAACCAUACGGUCCAAACAUCUUUGUGGAAAAAGUUGAAUGUCGGAACCACAUCUUGCGGAAUUAUUGCAAUUACGAGAACUAUUAAAAACGUCUGGAAGAAAUAUUCAUAUGCGACAAUUUUUGCUGUGUGUUCCAUCUGUCCUAUCAGAACACUUUACAAAAACCAGAACAUUUACAGGUUUUGACAACGAAAAAUUUUACCCAGAACUGAAGUCCGAAAAAACAGUACUGUUCUGGAAAAAACAGUACGGUUGGUCACCUUAUGUUUGAACUUACUCUACGUGGACAUGACGAAAGUAGGGAACCACAAAAUCCAGAUGCCAUCAACGUAAAAUUUUGACCGAAGGCAAACAGGUAUGUGGAGGUGGACACAUACUUUUUUUCACUAGCAGCCAUGAAGCAUGCAAAUGUCGACUUAUUUAGAGGUAGUAAAUUCAACUUUUGGGACCACGUGUUCAAAAAGAAGAUUGAGGUUAUGUACGUAAUACUUAAUGUGAUUAUUUCUUAAAAAAUGAAUAAAUUUGUGCUACUAACAUUA